AAAAAAAACAAAAAACAAAAAACAAAAAAACAGUGGCCAGAGACUUGAGCAGGAUGUGUGAAGGGAUUUAAUAAUGGAACUUGUGGCAACAGUAGACUUCAGAGACCAGACUGGCGGCUUGAAGAAAGCUAUUUUCUCGUACCAAAUACAUUCCAUUUCCUAAAGACAGGGUCUCGGUCUGUUACCCAAGCUGAAGAGCAAUGGGAUGAUCAUGGCUCACUGCAGCCUCAGAUUCCUGGGCUCAAGUGAUCCUCCCAUCUCAGCCUCCCAAGUAGCUGGACCUACAGACAUCCACCAUCAUGCCUGGGCCCCAGGUACUGAAGAUAAGAAUAUAGAGAAGUUUUUCUUCUGACAGACUUGCUGGAAGCCAGGUGGCUAUCGCUGGUAACAAUCCAGGAAGCUAACGGAUAACUUCUGUAACAACUGGACCCACACGGCCAGGACUUGAUUAAUGACUGACAUCUACCCUAAUUUUUGUGCCUACAUCCAAUUUAAGACCAAACAGAGAAAACGAAACACGCACCCCUAACCGAUCAUGCAGAAUGCCCCUACUUCUGUUUAGCCCGCCUACAGCUUCCCCAUGGCAAUAGCCUCCAAUCAGGAUACACCUGAACCCUUCCCUCCCCACCCACUGCCCUGCUAUAAAGCUUUCUCAUUUCUCUGCCUUUGAAUCACUGCCAAAACACAGCGACAGUAGCUAACUCCCUUGUUGUAUAGCAGGCUGUGAAAAAAUAGCACUUGCAUUUCUCAUUUGAUUGGUCGUCAUUUAUUUCUAUAACCAUGUGUUUCAUUCAUGCAAUUCAGAAGUUUCUUUGGAAUAACUUGCAGAGUAAACUAAAAAAUAUUUAUUUGC
rnacentral:lncRNA from 1 species